GCAAUCGCCGCUUUCGUAAGAAAGGGGAGGAAAGUCCGGGCUCCAAAGGGCAGGGUGCCAGAUAACGUCUGGGCGGCGCGAGCCGACGACAAGUGCAGCAGAGAGAAGACCGCCUAAGCAUGUUUACAUGCCGGUAAGGGUGAAAGGGUGCGGUAAGAGCGCACCGCACCUCUGGUAACAGAGUGUGGCAAGGUAAACUCCACCCGGAGCAAGACCAAAUAGGAUCCCUCAACGUGUGGCCCGCAUGGGGAUCGGGUAGGUU
rnacentral:ribozyme from 1 species